rnacentral:siRNA from 1 species
CACCUUUCACUUUGCCAA